UGAUCUUAUAUUCAGUGUCGAGAUUAAUUGCUCAAUUAGUAAUUAGCAUUCAGCUUGAGUAUCUAUUAACGAGGUUUUAAGUUCAAAUUCGUGAAUAUGCAAGUUGAUACUCAUUCGAAAUGGACAGUAUGUACUUGUGCAAUACGAACCGAACCUGCAUAGACCAUGUUGAAGCAAGAUGGUUAGAUCUAGUGGCCAUGAUUGGGGGAUGUAUCAUUACACACACAAAACUUUGCAUUUUAUCCCAAUGCACAUGUGUCUUGAUAAUUUUGAAUUGGGCUGUGCUUUCUGUACACUCUCGUGUACAACAAGGGUCAUAGCCCUCUCAUGUGAGGGGGUUGUAAAUGUAAAUCCGAGCUAGACUGUACAAGCAGCUCAACCCUUUAGAAUUAUACAUAUAGUAUUCGUG
rnacentral:lncRNA from 1 species